AUUGAACGCUGGCGGCAGGCCUAACACAUGCAAGUCGAGCGGAUGAAGGGAGCUUGCUCCUGGAUUCAGCGGCGGACGGGUGAGUAAUGCCUAGGAAUCUGCCUGGUAGUGGGGGAUAACGUCCGGAAACGGGCGCUAAUACCGCAUACGUCCUGAGGGAGAAAGGGGGGGAUCUUCGGACCUCACGCUAUCAGAUGAGCCUAGGUCGGAUUAGCUAGUUGGUGGGGUAAAGGCCUACCAAGGCGACGAUCCGUAACUGGUCUGAGAGGAUGAUCAGUCACACUGGAACUGAGACACGGUCCAGACUCCUACGGGAGGCAGCAGUGGGGAAUAUUGGACAAUGGGCGAAAGCCUGAUCCAGCCAUGCCGCGUGUGUGAAGAAGGUCUUCGGAUUGUAAAGCACUUUAAGUUGGGAGGAAGGGCAGUAAGUUAAUACCUUGCUGUUUUGACGUUACCAACAGAAUAAGCCCCGGCUAACUUCGUG
rnacentral:rRNA from 1 species